CUAAAGCUAAGUGCUCAUUUGAAACUGCAGGGGAAACGUGAACGCCGCCUCCAUUUUCCCUCAUUCUCUACCGUUUCAAAUUCUAGGCCUUUGCCCAGUCAACUCCGAUUCGCCCAGAGGAGAAGAAAGGCUUCAUCGGUGCACCCACGAAGGUAAACUCCUUCUCCUUUCCUCCCUUUUUCCUUAUUGCUAUAUGUAUAUAAAAAAUAAAAACUGAAAGAACCACACCAAAAACGCAGAGAAAGAAAAUAAGAAGAAAAGUACCACCUUCAAAAACUGAUCUUUUGUUUUUGAUUUCUUUUUUGAUACAGUAUGCGUGUGUGAGGGGUUUUUUUUACAAACGCUAAAAAAUGACCUUAUAUAGCCAAAAAUAAAAUGAAAAUUACAAAAGAAAAAUGCCUUUCGCUCUUUUUCUUCUUUUCCCUUUUUGCUUUCGAUUUCUGCUCGUUUUUGCUUGUUUGUUGCAUUGCAGGUACGAGUACGGAAGGUGGACGUGGCACGUACGGAUGUGCGCGGGCGCGUGCGUACGGAGGCUCGCGUGAGUGCAGAGGCCUGGCCUGCGCGGACAAGAGGAGCUACUACGGCGCUGGGGUCUGAAUGCUGCUAGGGUUUGUUGCUGUGUAUUCUGGUGUUGGGCCAUUUGGGCUGAGUUAUGGUUGGGCUAGGGUCUUUAAUAUUGGGUUUUUGUAAAUGGACAUUUGGGCUAAACUUUAAUAUUUUGUUUUUCUUUCUAUUUUAUUUAGUUUAACAAAAUGGACCGGACAAAUUGGCCUAUUACACCUCAUUGACAAUCACUCUAUUAUUAAUAAAAAUGAUCAUAAAAAAUCUUUGUUAAUAAAAAUAUUUGCUGGGCAAACUAGGUAGGAGUCGUGUUAGGUCUUUGUAUGUUAUUAUAUUUAUUCAAGUUUAGUCAUUUAUAUUUCUCUAUAUACACAUUGUUUUUAAAAAAUGAUAAUUUUUUCAUAUUAUGAGUAAGAAUGAAUCAUGGACUACUAAUAUAUUUUACACUUUAAUACUACUUUUAUUGAUCCCCUCUUGUAGUUUCAUCCAACCAUGGAACUAGCUUCAAUUCUACUCCACUGGUAUAUAUAUAUAUGCCAAAUCCAUAUGCAUGUGUAAACCCAUGGCAAGCCUCA
rnacentral:lncRNA from 1 species